rnacentral:rRNA from 1 species
UACGUAGGGUGCGAGCGUUAAUCGGAAUUACUGGGCGUAAAGCGUGCGCAGGCGGUUCGUUGUGUCGGCGGUGAAAGCCCCGGGCCUAACCUGGGAAUGGCCGUUGAAACUGGCGAACUGGAGUGUGGCAGAGGGGGGUGGAAUUCCGCGUGUAGCAGUGAAAUGCGUAGAGAUGCGGAGGAACACCGAUGGCGAAGGCAGCCCCCCUGGGCUAACACUGACGCUCAGGCACGAAAGCGUGGGGAGCAAACAGG